rnacentral:tRNA from 3 species
GGGGCCAUAGCUCAGUUGGGAGAGCGCUUGAAUGGCAUUCAAGAGGUCAGCGGUUCGAUCCCGCUUGGCUCCA